CCAGAGACUCUGGAGGCUGAGCUUUCCUCGGCCUGAGCCAGCCAGACCCUGGGCCCCGCGCUCACUCCUCUCCGCCGCCACGUCCGCGAAGGCCUCACGCGCGAGGCCAGGCAAGGCCCCGAGGCGCCCACCACUUCACGACACCGGAGCGAACCGGGCGCCAGAGGCCGCGACCCCCCUGCCCCGAAUCCGGCCGGUGGGAGUGGCUGCAUUUGAACCAAACGGCCUACGCGGGCAGCAGCUGUCCCCCCGCAGCCCCGGGGGCUCCCAAGGGCCUGUGACCGACGCCGGCCUCCGCGUCUUCGUCCCCGAAGCCCCCGGAACCAUCCGCCCUCGGGAGACCAUGCUGCAGAUGCGAGGAAAGCCGUUUCCUGGAACAUCGGAAUUCUAACCCCAGGGUGAAGGACUCACGACAGGCGAGGGGCAGACAUGCUGAACUCCACGGGCGAACUGGAGUUUUCGAACGAAGAAGAUCCCGAGAUCAUCUCUCAACUAACUUCCCUGCCUCUGUCCAGUGGGAAAAGCUCAGCUGGUGUACCCGAAAAAACGGGCUAUCCGGACUCCGUUUAUGUCAUGGCAGCCAACAUUUUUCAGGGUAUUCAAAUCGAAAAGUCGGCACAGAAAGUCUUAAUCAAGUAUGGGAAUGAACCCCUGCGGUCCUUGUCCGAGUCUGAGGAUCAGUCCUUUCAGCGUUUGUCUUAUGAGCUGGCUUUCAGUGCCCUGAAAUAUCAAGAUAUUUUGGAAACUAUAUUGAUAGACAGCUGUAUCUUCCCAAGUACCACAAUACCAGAUCAUUUAAGCAGUCUUAUUAUUGUGAUGCUAUAUGAUUUCCAAGAUAGAAAAUUUCAAACUCGCGUCCUUUCUGAUAAUGAAGAGCCCAUAUCAGAAGUUCAAGAAGUAGAGAACCUUCUUAACAGUUUUAAGAUAAAAUUGGCUGCAGCACUGGCAAGAUGUCGAAUCAAGCACGAUGCCGUUUCAAUUUACCACAUCCUUCCAGAAACAGUUAGGAAACAGGAACUAAGGGCCUCCACUUUACCACUUUAUGCUUGGAUAAAUACUUGUAAAAUCAGCCCUGAAGAAGUUUAUAAUAAUUUGAAGAGAAGAGGCUAUAAUAAAGUCAAAUCUGUAUUGCAUAUUGAUGAUAAAGUCUUUGCUGUGGAUCAACAUUGCUAUGAUGUCUUAAUUUUUCCAUCUCAUCUUAAAAAUGAUCUCAUAAAUAUAGAUCUUUUCAAAGAUUACAAACUUAUAUUUCAGGUAAACUAAUAUUUACUUUCAUUGUGAUUCUCAACAAUCCAACCUAGCCAAAGAACUUCUCCACUUAAAAAUAAAACCUAACACUGUUUAUAUUUUUAUAGAUUAUCAGGGAGGUUUAUAAGGCCUAAUUGUCACCUUGAAUAAAAUUAAUACCUCUACAAUCAGUGCAUCUAGUUGGCAUCUUUGUCUCAUGUGAAUUUAUAAAGAACAUAUUCUUCUCCCAGAUUCCAUAAAUGGGAAGAUUUGCAUUGCUGGCAGCUGUAAGGUUCUACUUUUCUCCCCUAAAGGAGAUUUCAAAAGAAAGUACAAUGAGACCUUUUCUUCCUUCCCUUUCUGGGGAAGAUACUAGUGCCAUCUUGCAUAGGAAAAAGCAAUUGUAAUAGUUUUUCAUAAUUUCUUUAAUAUAGUCUUAUAGCUUUGAUUUGUAAGAGGUGUAUAAAGCCUAUCAAUAUAGGAAGAGCAUGUGAGGUAUAAUGUAGUUUCAACAGAACGAAAAUAAAAGGUAU
rnacentral:sRNA from 1 species